UUCAAGUGUAGAGUUGCUGAUGUUAAUGCUGUAUUUUUCAUGUUAAUUAUUGGCGUAGAUUUUGUGUUUGAGAAUUUUCAUUUUCUGUAGUCGAGUUGAUCUUUGAUUUUCUUCCGCUUUAUCUGAAUCUAUGGUUUUUGUUGCAUGAACCGAAAAACCUCUAAUCAACCUUUUCAAACUUCUUGAAAUGGUUUCCCUGAGAAGUUUCUGGUUUCUAGCUCGUUGGACUUUAGGAUUGUCGUUACUUUUGUCUCUUGAAGUGCGCUUGAUUUGAAGAAUCGCCGGAAAAGUAGUCAAUGUAGACAAUGGCAAUGGUAAGCUUCUGUACUUCUGUUUUGUUAAUGUUCUUAAGAUAUUUAUUUGAUAUUAUUGGAUUAAAUUGAAGCUGGGGUUUAGCUGUAC